ACGCACGCUGGCGGCGUGCUUAACACAUGCAAGUCGAACGGAAAGGCCCUGCUUUUGUGGGGUGCUCGAGUGGCGAACGGGUGAGUAACACGUGAGUAACCUGCCCUUGACUUUGGGAUAACUUCAGGAAACUGGGGCUAAUACCGGAUAGGAGCUCCUGCUGCAUGGUGGGGGUUGGAAAGUUUCGGCGGUUGGGGAUGGACUCGCGGCUUAUCAGCUUGUUGGUGGGGUAGUGGCUUACCAAGGCUUUGACGGGUAGCCGGCCUGAGUGGGUGACCGGCCACAUUGGGACUGAGAUACGGCCCAGACUCCUACGGGAGGCAGCAGUGGGGAAUAUUGCACAAUGGGCGGAAGCCUGAUGCAGCAACGCCGCGUGCGGGAUGACGGCCUUCGGGUUGUAAACCGCUUUCGCCUGUGACGAAGCGUGAGUGACGGUAAUGGGUAAAGAAGCACCGGCUAACUACGUG
rnacentral:rRNA from 1 species